CACGGAGUUAGCCGGUGCUUAUUCAUUCGGUACCGUCACACAAGGACGCAUCCCUGCUCUUCUUCCCGAAUAAAAGCCGUUUACAACCCUGAGGGCCUUCAUCCGGCACGCGGCAUGGCUGGGUCAGACUUGCAUCCAUUGCCCAAUAUUCCCCACUGCUGCCUCCCGUAGGAGUCGGGCCCGUAUCUCAGUGCCCGUGUGGGGGAUCAACCUCUCAGCUCCCCUAUCGAUCGUCGCCUUGGUAGGCCGUUACCCAUACCAACUAGCUAAUCGAACGCAUGCCCAUCUUCAACCAAUAAAUCUUUAACAAAUAGACCCAUGUGGGCCCCCUGUAUUAUGCGGUAUUAAUCCGGGUUUCCCCGGGCUAUCCCCCAGUUGAAGGUAGGUUGCAUACGCGUUACGCACCCGUACGACGGUGACAUUGCUGCCCCCUGCCUUGCAUGUAUUAAGCCUGCCGCUAGCGUUCAUCCUGAGCCAGGAUCAAACUCU
rnacentral:rRNA from 1 species